rnacentral:rRNA from 1 species
AGGACGAACGCUGGCGGCGUGCUUAAUACAUGCAAGUCGAACGAGGGCCCGGAGCUUGCUCCGGUGACCCGAGUGGCGGACGGGUGAGUAACACGUGACCAACCUACCUUCGGGAGGGGGACAACCUGGGGAAACCUGGGCUAAUACCGCAUAUUGUCCUCGGGCCGCAUGGCCUGUGGAUAAAAGGGAGCCUCUGCUUGCAAGCUCUCACCCGAAGAGGGGGUCGCGGCGUAUCAGCUAGUUGGUGGGGUAACGGCCUACCAAGGCAACGACGCGUAGCGGGUUUGAGAGGACGACCCGUCACAUUGGGACUGAGAUACGGCCCAGACUCCUACGGGAGGCAGCAGUAGGGAAUAUUGCGCAAUGGCCGAAAGGUUGACGCAGCGACGCCGCGUGUGGGAGGACGCCCUUCGGGGUGUAAACCACUGUCAGGGGGGAAGAACUUCGUAGGUGUGAAUAGCGCUUACGGUUGACGGUACCCCCAGAGGAAGCGCCGGCUAACUCCGUGCCAGCAGCCGCGGUAAUACGGAGGGCGCAAGCGUUGUUCGGAAUUACUGGGCGUAAAGGGCAGGUAGGUGGUCUGUUAAGUCUUCUGUGAAAAUCCGGGGCUCAACCCCGUGAAAUGCAGGUGAAACUGGCAGACUUGAGACCGGUAGAGGCUAGCGGAAUUCCUGGUGUAGCGGUGGAAUGCGUAGAUAUCAGGAAGAACACCUGUGGCGAAGGCGGCUAGCUGGGCCGGUUCUGACACUAAACUGCGAAAGCGUGGGGAGCAAACAGGAUUAGAUACCCUGGUAGUCCACGCUGUAAACGAUGGGCACUAGAUGCUGGGCAUAUAGACGUGUUCAGUGUCGUCGCUAACGCAUUAAGUGCCCCGCCUGGGGAGUACGGUCGCAAGGCUG